GUCAAACGGUUUUCUAUUUGACUUCUAAACCUGCGUUUGAAGAGAACUCAUCAGCAACUCGAUAUAGAGGAACUGUCGAAGUGCAUAUAUCUGAAACUCUCUACGUACCGUCGCUACGGAAAAAAUUGGUUUCCGGUGGUACCCGAAAAAGAGCUGAUAUGAUGAGUACUGACGAAUUGCAGCGGAGAGAAAACAGACUGCCUAUCCCGCAACCUGGAGAGGAAAGCAAUACGCAUUUGUAGUCAACGAAGAAAGAGGCCGAGAAGCAAGAUACGAGGGCUUACAGAAAGUUCCAAUACCGGAGCAGACCCUUGUAGAACACAUAGAGGUGAUCUUUCCAGAGUAUAUGUUAUUUACGUAGGGUACACUUCGCCAGCGUACUGAAUGGAAGUAAAAAUAGAACAGUCGGAGAUGAUGAACACGAAAUCCAAAUGUUCCUGUUCCUGAGGCCUGUUUAAUGAUCAACUGAGCGGCUGCAGCUGACGGACUACCAGCAGAGCUAUUCAACCAUAACGGUGAAGAACUGUAAAGUUGCAUUCGUCAGCUUCUUUGCCCAAUCCACAAAAAAUUGCGAUCCCACAGUCUGCGCCAAUUACCAUGGGAUAUGCCUUCUUAAUCCUCUCAAGCGUAUUUUGUGAGACUAAAGCUCACCGUCAACAAACUGAUUGGACUUUAUCAGUGUGUCUUCAGACCUGACCUGGUAAAUCAACCAUUGAUCAGAUAUUCACUAUCUUGGAAAAGGCCCGUGAAAAAGUAUCGACACCCACCAACUCUUCGUCUAUUUCAAAGUAGUUUUUUUUCAGUCUGAAUUCGGUGUACCCGCGAAAGAUCCGUCAGGAAGGACCUCUCCGAGCCGUUCGAUACGAAACGAGGCUUCAGACAAGGUUCAUCGUGUGACUUUUUCAAUUUAUUGCUUAAGAAAACUAUACGAGCUGUAGAGCUGCUAGAAUAGAGUAGUGAACGAGGGAAAUAGAAGAAAUAACUCCUGCCAUCA